rnacentral:lncRNA from 1 species
UUUUCUUCUUUUUCUUUUAUCCUGCUUUUAUCUUUUCUGUUUUAUUUAUAUUAUUUUAAUUUUCACAUUAUCUUAGUUUAAAAAUGUAGGAGGACAACACCUAAAUUAAUGUUUUAGUUUAACCCUCUGCCACGAAAGGUUCUACUCCCAAAUAAAAUAGUUUGCUAUUUUAUAAUUUAGAAAAGGCAUUUUAUUUAUUGUUAAAGCCACUAUUUAAUUAAACUAAUGCAGUAAACCACUUUAUAAAAAUGUUGGUUCACCACCAUAAUUAGUUAUGGAAUAUUUCCCACACUUUGAACAUUUUAUUUUGCAUGUUUGACAAAUUUGAGGUUUAGACUUUAAUUUGAAUUUGAGUUUGAUCUAAGACUUGGAUCAAGCGAGGAUUACCAACAGUAAUAUGAUGACAUGGCACCAUUAACGGGGAUUACUGUAGCUUAAUUAUCGGGGCGUCACAAUUCUCCUCCACUACAAGAAAUCUCGUCCCAAGAUUUUAGGAGGUAGAAGGAAACAAAGCGGGGUAUUCAUCUCGAAGACGAUCCUCGCGAUCCCAAGUGGCUUCAUCUUUAGAAUGAUUUGACCAAUGAACUUUAAGAAAUUUGGUAGCCCUCAGACGGGCACGAUGUUCAGCUGGAGCGAGAACGCGGAUCGGAUGCUCCGAGUAGGUGAGAUCAUCUUGGAAGGGUUGAGCUUUAUAAGCCAUGUGGUUGUUGCAAAAGGACUUGCGACACAGGGCAUCGGCCAUGAUAAUAGCCUUGCCAUGGGUAUAAUAAAUACCAUAGUCAUAGUCUGAAAUUGUGUUCAUACAUCACUGCUGACAGAGGUCCAGAUCUAGCUGAGUAACAGAUACAUCGGACUUUGAUGAUCAGUGAAGAUCUUGCAACGAUUACCAAGAAGGAAAUGCCGCCACAACUUUAGUGCAAAUUUAACUACAACAAGUUCAAGGUCAUGGACUGGGUAGUUCUUUUUGAAAGACAUCCUGGAAUUCAGAAACAACUAGAGCGUUUUCAAUUCUCAUAAGAGGAGAAUCGUUUAACGCAUGCAAGGAAUAAAUCCGAGCUUCGGCAUUUCAAACAGGAUGAGCAUGGUAGCUCACUAUCUCAUUUGAUGGAUGUAGUAGAUGGACGGUUUUAGUGGCGCAAAUGAUAGAAGUGGUAUUUGUUUUCAACCAUUCCAUUUCCGGAAUGAGGAUGAUAUCUGGAAGACUUCAAAACAACGGGGGAAACAUGGAAUUCCAAUCCUUCAAUUUCAACGGGGACGUUGUGACUAACCAAGGUGGUUCGACAUUGGCCCGCGGAAUGCAGCUUGAAAUUCAUGCCAAGCGAUGGUGGUUCCAACAAGUAAGAAAGCAUGUGGUUGUCCCACCAUUGAGCAGCGGGACCUUUCAGGUAGUAAGCCGCGAAGGUGACAUAGUUGACAAGGGCUACAUCUGCAGACUCCAACUCGAAAGUGAUGUCACGGAGCCAAUCAUCAGCAUCAAGGGGCUGAGUUGAGCUGUGGUAGAUGACAGGGUUGAGACGCGCAAAGUUUUGCAAGAGUCACUAGGGUUGGUUGCCGAUUCAUAUUGGGGCGUGGGAACUGAGCCAUGACUCGUACCAUGAACUGGCGAUUCAACAUCAAACUGUUGUAUCAUUCCGGCCAUGUAUUCGGGCGGCCAUGAUCAGCGGGUCUAACCAUCCUGCUUAAAUGCAACAGGGGGCAGUUUAGCAUGGGGUGGAGCAAGUGUAUGGAGUCAUUCAUGAUGUAACUUGAACAAUGAGUAAAGGCGCAGUAUCCAUAAAGUAGUAGUCAUCAAAGACAUACCACUACAUAUUCGGAGCCAAUUACACGCUGUUCGUAUGAGUUCGGAUAAGAGAAUCAUCCUAGACAUACUAGGCGGCAAGCAUGCACGCGAUGGAGGAAUGCAAUAACGGUACAUAGCACAGGCUACAUCAAUGUCAGGGAAACGUCUGGAACGAGGGAUUUGAAAGUGACGAUGCAGGGUGCCCUCGAUAAGAGGAUCCCGCGGUCAAUGAACAUUGUGAAGCAAAUCUUGGCCCUCAAUUCGAGAAAGGGGUAACACAAACCUCCGGGUGGAUGUGAUCAUGAGAUCCUAAUGUUAGAGUUAUCAAAAUCAUUUAACCCGAGUAGAAGAGAGAUCAGAAUCCCAGAGUAAAGGUCGAGGAGUAAAAGAUCCUAAUACCACCCAAUGGCGACGUGGGCCCGUAAGCCACACAGCCAUGUUAGUAAAUCAGUUUUUUUAAAGACUAGACUCAACUUCGGCCAAGGAGUUGGAAAGGGGGAUCCUACAGGCAGUCGGCUCUGAUACCAACUUAUGACGCCCCCAACUCGACCGUACACUAAUCAUACACGCAAAUGUGUACGAUCAAGAUCAGGGACUCACGGGAAGAUAUCACAACACAACUCUAGACACAAAUUCAAAUAAUACAAGCUUCAUAUUACAAGCCAGGGGCCUCGAGGGCUCGAAUACAAGCUCGAUACACAAGCGUCAGCGGAAGCAACAAUAUCUGAGUACAGCCAUAAGUUAGACAAGGAUGCCUUAAGAAGGCUAGCACAAAAGCAACACGAUCGAAGAGGCAAGGCCUCCUGCCUGGGACCUCCUAACUACUCCUGGUCGUCGGUGGUCUCCAUGUAGCAGAAUCCGUUGGCGGUGGCAUCUGGCUCCAGGGAUCCACCAUCUGGUUGCAUCAACCGGAAAGAAGAAGGAAGGGGGGAAAGGGGUAGCAAAGCAACCGUGAGUACUCAUCCAAAGUACUCGCAAGCAUCAGAUCUAUACUAAGUAUGCAUUGGUAUCAAAUGGAAGGGUUGUAUCUGUGGACUGAACUGCAGAAUGCCAGAAUAGAGGAGAAGGCCUAGCCUAUCGAAGACUAGCAUCUUCAAGCAGCUCCAAGCAUCUUGCAGCAUGUAGAAGAGUAAAGAAUAGCAGUUUAUAAUUAUCAAACAUGUUGUAACAUUAAUGCCCAAAGAUCCCUCCUCGACUCCCUGUGAGAAAGCAAUCUCGGAGCCACAUAUCCAUCACAUAUCAAGUAUCCAUUUCUAGUUGUAUAAGAUCAGUAUACAAGUCUGAACGUCCAUUACCGUGGACACAGUAUUCGAAUACAUAUCUUCCCUGCAGGGGUGCACCACGUUACCCAACACGCUCGAUCACUCUGGCCGGACACACCUUUCUGGGGUCAAUGCCCGGCCUCGGAAGAUCAACACGUCGCAGCCCUACCUAGGCUCAGCAGAGAGGUCCCCGCCGGUCUACAUCCUAAGCACUCCGGGGUCUUGGGCCCAUCGCCCGGUGCACUCCGGGUCGUUGUGUGCAGGGUGGAUACCAGCACCGCCUCGGAUUGCCAGCAUGAUCCGACCGUGCCACAAUGCUGAACUGGAUGUCUGACAAAGCUUCGGCUGAUACCACGACGUCGAGGCCCAUAACUAUUCUCACGUGGUGGUUAGUGCGUAAAGGCCAAAGGCCAAUUCAGAACAAAUACCCAAACCUGUUAGUGCAUUAUUAAAAGAAGUGACGGCUGUCGGGACAAGUCCGGAGCUAUCACCCCCUCCCGGGUGAUACCGCUAAACAGCCAGCUGCCACCGUAACAACUCCUCGGGUGCUCUUCGGGCCCGCCCGACUUUCACCAAUGUCUCAAGUAAAGUCAAGGUAACCGUGUGUCCAGACAUCAAGGGGAAAACCCGAGGAAUCACGCCCGGUGGAUUCCACUCAAUGUAAUCAUCAAGGUGAACGUAAGAGGGACCACCCUCGAGGUUCACACUUGAGGUGUUGAACGACAGAGCCGUAUCGGGAAUGGUGAAAGAGGAAAUCACCCUCGAUGACCACGAAUGAAUAGCUACACUACAGAAUUAUCAUCAGGAGCGCGUUAUGAGGGAUCACCCUCGGCACUCGAUAGUAGCUCUGUAGAGUCGAGCAACAAAAGGGUCGUGAUGUGAUGUGAGGUGUCGGGCUCUGGUUGUCGAUCACGUUGCUGAGUCGUCGAUGAUGAAGCGGGGGCAACCAGGAUACGGUGGUGGUCACUGAUGGAUCUCUAACCAACCUAUACUAAGCAGUUUAGGAUAAGCGGGUAGGUAACAAUAGCAAGUACAAAAGCAGGCUAUGCAUCAGAAUAGGAUCAAUCAAUUACAGUAGCAAAAUCUAAUGCAAGCAUGAGAGAAUGGAAUGAGCGAUAUCGGGAUGAUCAAAGGGGGGCUUGCCUGGAAGCUCCGCUGAAAGGGAAGAAGGGGUCGUCGUCGACGCAGUCGAUCAUAGGGGCAUCAGCAGCGGUCUCGGGGUCUACCGGAGAGAAGAGGGGGGAGAAACAGUAAAUACAAGCAAACAGAUACAAGACAAGCAAUAAGCAGCGCUAGAGGCGUUCUAACGCGACACUACACGAUACCGGCGAAGGGGAAUAACAUCCGAAAAGUUUUCCCGGAGUUAGGCAUUUUCGGACAGACGAACCGGAGGGGAAAAGUUCGAUGUUCGCUACGCUAGGGGCAUGUGACAGAUGAACGGAGAGCGUGUUCCGAUUCGUCUCGUCGUUCUGAGCAACUUUCAUGUAUAAAACUUUUUCAUCCGAGUUACAAAUUAAUUUAUAUGGUUUUUCAAAGUUUUAAUACUAUUCUGAAAUUAAUUUUAAUUCGAGAAUAAAGAUUAAAAUGCUAUGGGUACCCAGCUCUGCGUACACAGGAGUGUACCAGAGGCUGACGGGUGGGCCAGGGGUUCCCAGUUGACCAGGCAAUGUUUGACUGGUCAACAGGGGGUGGGGUCCCCCUGUCAUACACACAUUUAUCUAACUACCAUUUUAACCUAGUUUAAUUAGCAUGUUAAUUAAACUUAAUUAGCUAACUAAGCAGGAUUAAUUAAGUUAAUUAAUUAAUUAACUAUUUUCUAUUAUUAUUAUUUUUUAAAUCUUUUUUUGUUUUUCUUUUCCAGGGCGUGGGGGCCGGCUGUCAUUGGCCCAAGGAGCAAACCGGGCGGGGGUUGCUAGCGGGCGCGGGCGCCGGGCACAGCAUCGCAGCUGCAGCGCCGGCGAGGCGGCGCGCGAGGGGGGCGGCCAGGGCGGUCUCGGCGCAGUGAGCGGCGGCGCGGCACUGGCGACUGAGGGUGUGGCCGCGGUGGGCUGCGGCAGGCGGAGUGCGGCAAGGCCGCGUGAGGGGCCAGGAGGGCGCGGCCGGUCGUGGCGGUCGGCGUGGCCAGGGACGCGCAGUCCGGCGGCCACGCGCGACGCGGGCGGCGAGCAAGGGCGGGGCGGCGCGGCCACGGCGGACCAGGGCGCGGCAACCGCGGGACAGCGCGGGGAUGCACGGGAGCACGGGCCGGGCAGCAUCCGCAAUGGGGAGCGGUGGCCACGUUCGACGCCGGGACGGGGGGGGAAUCAGCGACAGGCUCAGAGCGGAGCUGUAGGGGGGUGGCAGCGGGCUCGUUGGAGCCGUUGGGGAGGACGACAGGGACGGGGUCCGGCGAAAUCCAGCGACGGCACGAGGUUGCGGCGACGUCCACGGCAUCAAGCAGGCGUCGGGCCACGAGGGAGAGGGGAUGGAGCCGCGAGGAGGACCGCGGCGGUCCAGCGAGGGGGGCUCGGAGCGACGGCAGGGUCGAGCGGUGACAAUGGGGUCCGGCCAGUCCGCCCGAUCCCGAUCUGGUUUAGGAGGGGAACGAGAGGAAGGAGGGGAUCGUGGGGAGUGGGGGUAGUGGAGAUGGGGAUUUAGGGUUUCGGGGGUUAGUGGGGUUAUAGGCCUGGGGUUGGGCUGGCUAGCGGUCCAGCUAGGCCGAGGCCCAGUGAGGGAAGGGAGUCGUGUUGUUUUCUUCUUUUUCUUUUAUCCUGCUUUUAUCUUUUCUAUUUUAUUUAUAUUAUAUUAAUUUUCACAUUAUCUUAGUUUAAAAAUCUAGGAGGCCAACACCUAAAUUAAUGUUUUAGUUUAACCCUCUGCCACGAAAGGUUCUACUCCCAAGUAAAAUAGUUUGCUAUUUUAUAAUUUAGAAAAGGCAUUUUAUUUAUUGUUAAAGCCACUGUUUAAUUAAACUUGUGCAGUAAACCACUUUAUAAAAAUGUUGGUUCACCACCAUAAUUAGUUAUGGAAUAUUUCCCACACUUUGAACAUUUUAUUUUGCAUUUGACAAAUUUGAGGUUUAGACUUUAAUUUGAAUUUGAGUUUGAUCUAAGACUUGGAUCAAGCGAGGAUUACCAACAGUAAUAUGAUGACAUGGCACCAUUAACGGGGAUUACUGUAGCUUAAUUAUCG